rnacentral:lncRNA from 1 species
UGUGUCUGCAUGUAUGUGUAAUUGUACAUGUGUGUGUAGUACAAGCAGUAUGGUACAGUAGAUGGUUCUCUCCACUUGUUUCAGGAUAUGGAGGCUUUGGUGGUGGUGGUGGAGCAGGCCUUCCUGGUGGAAAAGGUGGUCCUGGAUCCAAGCCUGGAUACCCCAUUGGAACUGGUGUUGGGACAGGAGGUCUUAACCCGGCCCAGGCUCAGGCUAAAGCUGCUAAAUAUGGUGCUGGUCCUGGUUUGGGUGGUGUGCCCGGUGCAGGUGGAGCUUACCCUGGAGCAGGAGGAGCUUACCCUGGAGGAGUCCCAGGAGGUGCGGGUGGCGUCCCAGGUCUUGGAUCAGUAGCAGGAGGAGCAGGAGGAGUACCUGGAUGGUUACCCGCAGGAGCUGGAGGAUAUAACCCUGCUGCGGCCAAAGCUGCUAAAUAUGGAGUUCCAGGGGGUGCAGGUGCAGGCCUAGGAGCUGGAGGAUUUGGUGGAGUACCAGGAGGAGGAGGAGGAGGGGGUGUACCUGGGGCUGGAGGACUCCCAGGAGGAGGUGCAGGCAGGCUCCCAGGUGCUGGCUCAGUCGCAGGAGGAGCAGGAGGAGUACCUGGGGCUGGAGGAUAUAAUCCUGCUGCGGCCAAAGCCGCUAAAUAUGGAGUUCCAGGAGGAGCAGGUGCAGGGUUAGGAGGAGCUGGAGGUACGGCUAUAGUAACCAAACACCUAUAGAUUUAACUAAUGUACAGUCAGGCCCAAAAUGUUUGGCAC